CUUCUCACGCAGAGUGUAUGCCCGUGUAGAUGCACCAAAUGAGACUGUGGAGUCGAUGGGGAUCUGCUGUGGCUUGUGAGGUUCCAAUCGAAUAUGACCCAAGAAUGUGCCGUGUGCUGGGAAAGAUCAGAAAGAGAAUCUCAGAUUUGGAAGACCCCAGAGGAUAUCUCAUCUAACUCCCUAUGAGAUGAUCCCAGAUAAAUGGUUGUCCAGCUUUUGCUCGAAGACUUCUAGCAACUGGGAAUUUAUUUUGCUUCUAAGGCAUAGCCGAUUUUUUGGUUUGUCCUGCCUUUUCCCAUUUCUGGGUCUUUGUGUAUACCCUUCACCAAAGUUGGCCCAUUCUCCACCUAAUGAAGUCCUUCUCUUCUUUCAAAGCCCAGUUAUCACCUCUUCCAACCCAAUCCUUCAUCUACAAAUUGGAUCAGCAAAAAAUAUGAAAUCAGAACUGGAAGGUCUACAAGUGAAUUGAUAAGGAAACAAGUUCAGAAAACUGAAGAGACCUGCCCAAGGUCAAACAAGGGAAGCCUAAUCAAAAGUCCAGAUCUUCUGACACCCAAUUCUUGCCAUCUGGACCCCAUCUUCUUCAAAGAUAUGAACCUAUUCAUUCAAAUAGUUUUUCAAAUUACACAUAAGUCUAUCACCAAAAUUCGAUUUAUCCUCAUUAUAUUCAAAAUUAGUUCACACAUGUCAAUGCUAAGAAAACACAAAAAGAAAAAUAGAACCUUUGCUAAGUGUGACAAGAACUCUGACCCAAAGCCUGAAGUUCUGCAUAAAUUAGUCAAUAGGCCUUGCAGAGAAGGUUGAUCUGCAUAAAAGGGCCCAUAAUGGCAGGCUACUUUAGUUUUUUCCUCACAUUUCUUAACAAGGUGAUACAACUGAAUCUAAUUUUCACACAUGGUCAGAGACAAUAAGCCUCACUUAGAAUAAGAUUCUCAUAUUUCCAAAAAUAUCUCAGUUUUCUCUAUAAAAUACAGAUAGCUCAGGUGAAGACUUAAUAUAAGUUACAAUAAUGAAGCGACCAGGGGCUAAAAAAAUAUAAGUAGCAUGAGUAAGAAAUGAAGUAUUUUAAAAGAAAGCACAAUGUUUUCAUGUGGGGGUAAUAUGUGUUUAUUUAAAAAAAAAAGGCAAGAGACAUGGAAGCUUUACCUUUCCUGCUGGAAUUCAGUCCUACAGUAGGUACAUUUAACCAUAGGAUGUGCAAUCCGACAUUCCUGUAAUGAAGUACAAUUAUUAAAGUCAAGUGUUUAAAGCAUUCAUUAACAAGAGUCUAAAGGAAAAAAAAAAACCCACGAAUGGAGAUAACACAGUAUGCUGAAAAGAACCCUGGAAAUUAUUUGUGUCACUCUGGCAAGUCAUUCAUCCCAUGCUUCAGUCUGCUCACCUGCUAAAUGAGGUUGCUUUCUGGGAGGUGAUAUAAGACAGAGAGGAAAGAGCAUGUGAAGGUUCAGAGCCAGGGCACCUAAGGUUAAAUGUCAGUUCUGCUACCUA